UACGGAGGGGGCGAGCGUUAUUCGGAAUUAUUGGGCGUAAAGGGCGCGUAGGCGGCUGAACAAGUCAAAGGUGAAAUCCCUCGGCUCAACUGAGGAACUGCCUUUGAAACUGUUCGGCUUGAGGCCGGGAGGGGGUAGCGGAAUUCCCAGUGUAGCGGUGAAAUGCGUAGAUAUUGGGAGGAACACCAGUGGCGAAGGCGGCUACCUGGACCGGUUCGUGACGCUGAGGCACGAAAGCGUGGGGGAGCAAACAGG
rnacentral:rRNA from 1 species